AUAUUUACAAAAAGAUUUUUCUAUUUAUUUUGUUAACCUUAUUGAUAUAUCCAUUUGUUUCGAGUAUUUAUAUUCCAAAAAAUCAUUAACUUAUAUUAUUCGUAAUUAUUUUAAUACUAUUGUUAAUUCGGAUGAUAGUGAUAUUAAUAUGUAUGAACAAGUAAAUCCAUUUAGUGUUGAAUUAAUUGACGAAAUAAAGGAAUCUUUUUAUUAUUUGUAUUUUUUAUUUGAUUAUGUAAUAUCUGAUUUGUAUUACAAUUAUAUUUAUUAUGUUAAUACAUCAGUUAAAACUGAGGCUAUAACAACCAGCAGUGAUGAUACUGUAACAAUACGUAGUAAUAAUGAACAAACAAAAACAAAUUAUUCAGACGAAAUAAAAAGCGAAAAAAAUGAUACAUCUAGUGUAGGAUUAUCAUCAACACUAUUACCCAUGGAUGCUGUCACAUCUUUUAAUUUAAAAUAUAAUAAAAAUGCAUAUACACAUUUUGAUCAUAUCAAAUUUGAUAUGUCGGAAGAAGAAAAGGAAAGUGCCAAGGAAUAUAUAAAAUUAGUUUUUGUUGAGAGUAAUAUUAAAUGUUUGGAAAAAUUCAAAAUGGAAGAUAUUACUAAUAUGAAAAAAACAAAAGAACAGAUAACAACAAUUAUAAAUGAAUCAUAUCGUCCAGUGUAUAAUGAUAAACUAAUGAUAAAAUUAUUACAAUUUAGAGAAGAAUUAGCAAAAAAAUAUGAUGAAAGACCAGAUAGUUUAAUUAAUUUAUAUAGUCUUAUUUCAAUCCUUUUAAAUACCCCAACAUCCAUUUUUGAGUUAAAAAAAAAUAUAUUUCCAUUAUCAACAAUAUUAGAAGAAAAUUUAGAAAAAGUAAUUCAUUUAAUUAUUCAACAUAAUAUGAAAAAAAAAACAAAGCUUUUUUUUUUAAAAAAAUUGUUAGAAAAUAAUGAAAAGUCAAAUAAUGAAUUAUAUGAUAAUCGUAUGAUGUACAGUGAUGUUAAUGCUGGAGAGGCUCCUAUCGAGAAUGAUCUGUCAUCUUGCAAAAGUGGAGUUGUAAAUGUUGAUACUAGCCAACUUAGUAAUAAUUAUGCUGAUUCUUUUAACUUUCAUAAUAUGUAUUUUCAAAUUACAUCAGGAGAAGGUCUCCAUGAUCGAUGUUUUAUACACAAAUUGUGUACCGUUGGAAGUGGAUUAGAUGGAAGUGGAUUAGAUGGAAGUGGAUUAGAUGGAAGUGGAUUGGAUGGAAGUGGAUUAGAUGGAAGUGGAUUGGAUGGAAGUGGAUUGGAUGGAAGUGGAUUAGAUGGAAGUGGAUUGGAUGGAAGUGGAUUGGGUGAUGAUAUGUUGUAUAAAAUGAAACUUGGGGAAGGACAUAUGGAAUGAAUGUUUUUUUUUUGAGAAAAUGCUUUUAAAGUAAUAGAUCGAGUAAUGGUGGGUAGUUAUUUUAUGACAAACACAUAUGUAAUAACAAGAGCAUAUUUAGUGAUAACGACUUGAAUUAUGAAAAACAAUGUAAUGAUCAUGUGGUUGAUAAUGAUAAAACAGAGAAUUAUAUGAUAUCUUUACAUUUGCUUUCACUGAUUAAAAAAAUAAUUUUACGAAACGGGGCAAUAUAAAGCAAAAUCGAGACAAUCAGGUUGUAUCUUAUGUAAAAAAUAUAUAACCAAAACAAGUGAAGGUACAUAAAAACGAUUUAAAAGGAGAAACAAGGUAACAAAAAGAAGGUAACAAAAAGAAGGUAACAAAAACAAGGUAACAAAAACAAGGUAACAAAAACAAGGUAACAAAAAGAAGGUAACAAAAACAAGGUAACAAA
rnacentral:lncRNA from 1 species